rnacentral:rRNA from 1 species
GAUGAACGCUAGCGGCAGGCUUAAUACAUGCAAGUCGAGGGGCAGCAGUUUUGUAGCAAUACAGAAGCUGGCGACCGGCAAACGGGUGCGGAACACGUACGCAACCUUCCUUUAACUGGAAGAUAGCCCACCGAAAGGUGGAUUAAUACUCCAUAAUAUAUUGAAGAGGCAUCUUUUUGAUAUUAAAGCUCCGGCGGUUAAAGAUGGGCGUGCGUCUGAUUAGGUAGUUGGCGGGGUAACGGCCCACCAAGCCUUCGAUCAGUAGCUGAUGUGAGAGCAUGAUCCGCCACACUGGCACUGAGCAACGGGCCCGACUCCUACGGGAGGCAGCAGUAAGGAAUGUGGGUCAAUGGACGCAAGUCUGAACCAGCCAUGCAGCGUGGAGGAUGAAGGGCCUCUGGGUUGUAAACUUCUUUUCUUUGGGACGAAACCCCUGUUUCUACGGGGACUGACGGUACCAGAGGAAUAAGCACCGGCUAACUCCGUGCCAGCCGCCGCCGUAAAAC